rnacentral:rRNA from 1 species
CUGGGAUUAGAUACCCCACUAUGCCUAACCUCAAACUAUGACUCAAUACAAAACACCAUCCGCCCGGGAACUACGAGCCCUAGCUUAAAACCCAAAGGACUUGGCGGUGCCCCACCCACCUAGAGGAGCCUGUUCUAUAAUCGAUAACCCCCGCUUAACCUCACCACUUCUUGCCAAUACCGCCUAUAUACCACCGUCGCCAGCCCACCCCGUGAGGGAACAGUAGGCACAAUGAUCAAUCAUCAAAACGUCAGGUCAAGGUGUAGCGUAUGAAGUGGGAAGAAAUGGGCUACAUUCUCUAACCUAGAGCACACGAAAAAUCAUAUGAAAUUAGAUUAGAAGGAGGAUUUAGUAGUAAAAAGAAACAAUAGUGUUCUUUUUAAGCUGGCCCUGGGGCGCGCACACACCGCCCGU